CCUACGGGUGGCAGCAGUGAGGAAUAUUGGUCAAUGGCCGAGAGGCUGAACCAGCCAAGUCGCGUGAGGGAAGAAUGUCCUAUGGAUUGUAAACCUCUUUUGUCAGGGAGCAAAGUCACCCACGUGUGGGUGUUGGAGAGUACCUGAAGAAAAAGCAUCGGCUAACUCCGUGCCAGCAGCCGCGGUAAUACGGAGGAUGCGAGCGUUAUCCGGAUUUAUUGGGUUUAAAGGGUGCGUAGGCGGGUUAUCAAGUCAUCGGUAAAAUCGUGGUGCUCAACUCCAUCCAGCCGUGGAAACUGAUGAUCUUGAGUGGGCGAGAGGUAUGCGGAAUGCGUGGUGUAGCGGUGAAAGGCAUAGAUAUCACGCAGAACCCCGAUGGCGAAGGCAGCUUGCCGGGUUGCGACUGACGCUGAGGCUCGAAGGUGCGGGUAUCAAACAGGAUUAGAUACCCCAGUAGUC
rnacentral:rRNA from 1 species